rnacentral:hammerhead_ribozyme from 1 species
AUCCAGCUGACGAGUCCCAAAUACGACAAAACGCGCGUCAAACUGGAU